GAGACCUACGGGGGGCAGCAGUGGGGGAUAUUGGACAAUGGGGGGAACCCUGAUCCAGCGACGCCGCGUGAGUGAAGAAGUAUUUCGGUAUGUAAAGCUCUGUCAGCAGGGAGGAAAGCAAUGACGGUACCUGACCAAGAAGCCCCGGCUAACUACGUGCCAGCAGCCGCGGUAAUACGUAGGGGGCAAGCGUUAUCCGGAAUUACUGGGUGUAAAGGGAGCGUAGACGGAUGUGCAAGGCUGGAGUGAAAGGCGG
rnacentral:rRNA from 1 species